UCUUCCUGUGUAGUUUUACCCCCUGAUCCUCUGGUCACCCACCUGAUGGGUCCCUGUGGUGCCAGGCAGGAAUGGCCUGCCAGGGGACCCAGCGAGCUCCCAGGGCCUUUCUGCUGCUUCCUCUACCCCUUUAUUUCACUUGGCUUUCUAAAUUGGCUCAGCUCCAGACAUUGAAGAAGUAAUAGUUGUUAUCUUCAAAUCUUACCCUAUGGAACUAGGAUGCACUGAAAGAGGAACAAAGCAGACACACAUCGCCUUGGCGUGUUAAUGAGGUGUCAAUACAGCUCUUUGCCAAGAAUAACUCCUGACUUAAGAUGAUGCUUGAAAUCUUCCUGUGAGUCACUAUUCUGGGUACCUUGAAGACAGUUGUUAAAAACCAAAUAUGUUCUUACAAAUUGGUGAUAUAUUAAUUCAUUGUCAUACGUUAAUGCAUGUUUUGUAUAAAUUUAUGGGAUACAAAUGCAAUUUUGUACAUGCAUAGAUUGUGUAGUGGUCAACUCAAAGGUUUGUAUAGCAUCCAUCACCUGAAUAACAUAUAUUUACUCAUUAAGUAAUUUCUCAUUUUCUACCCUCCUUUUCACACCCCCAUAUGCUAAUACCUCAAAAAAAGAAUUAAGGACUUGAAUUUGGUAAGUUGGAUUGAGAAAAAUAAAAAUAGUGUGUCAUUUCAAA